rnacentral:tRNA from 1 species
CAAAAGAUAAGCUAAGUAAGCUAAUGGGCUCAUACCUCAUUUAUGAGAGCUAACCUCUCUCUUUUUA